GUCCUGGGCGCUUUACAGNGCAGGCCACGGCUCGGGCCCCCUGCGAGCCAGGGGUGCGCAGGCCUCUGUGGCCGUUGCUUUGGCAUGCCCAGCGGAUUUGCCCAGGGUGCCCGCCUGCGAGCGCGGCUCUGCCCCGGCCAGAACUCUGCGGCGCAUCAGUGCGAAACUGUCAGAGAAGAGAGAAGAGGCGUCGUGUCAAGAGAAGAGAGAAGAGGCUGCAAGAGAGAAGAGGCUGCGUGUCAAGAGAGAAGAGGCGGCGUGUCAAGAGAAGAGAGAAGAGGCGUCGUGUGGAACGGCGAGGCGAGGAGCGGCGUGGGGCAGAAGAGGGGGCACAAGAAAGGCACCCUGGGCAAAGGGACCCCCUGUGGGCACAGGGGGAGGUCACGUAAGAGCAUGAUGGCACCUUUGGGGUGCCGUGAGGAAUGUUGUGUGCUGGGCGACCUCCCUGUAAGCAGGGCUCAGGUCUUUGCUACUGUUGGUUUUGGCCUUUGGCCGUCUUGCUCCUUUGGCUGCCCGGAGAGCGUGGCAACCCUGUAAGGAGGGUGAGAGCCAGCGUCUCCGCACCCGAGGGGGAAAUGGAGCUCUCUGGACCCCCAGGCCACCCUGUAAGCAGGGGAGGGCCAUUUCCCCUGCCCCAACUUCUCUGCCCCAGCAGCUUUCUGCCUGCUGGUGGCCUACCCAGCGUGACCCCCUGUUGUCAGGGCGUGUCACAGCAUUUGCCCUUGGCCUGUUGAAGUUCUCUGGCUUCCACACAGGCCUGGGCAUGGUCUGAGGCUUUCCUCUCUUGCUGGUGAGUAGGGUGAAACCCCAGACAUUGGCUGCACAGAGACCGUCUCCCUUUUUGGGACGUUCUGUUUUGUGUGUCUUGUCCUUGUCAAUCAAUGUGUGUGAGUGGUGAGGGAGUGAGUGAGCUUAUCCUUUAGGCCCCUGUUUUAAUUGCUGCAGCUUAGCUUAAACCUCCCUGGAGGGAGAGCAGGGAUCUGUGCAGUAACAGGGGGGUCCCCUCUAAGUCCAUGAGCGGAGGGACGGUCUGGACUCGCCCCUUCUUUCCAAGGACGGUGCCAAGCCACUUAGUUGUGGUGCAGGCAAUGCGACCUGCCUGUAGUCAGGACCUGGGUCUCUGCCUGCAUGGCUGCCUGUCCUGCUGGUGACCUGCCAGCGUGACCCCCUGUUGUCAGGGUGUGUCGCAGUAUUUUCCCCUUGGCGUGUUGAAGGUCUCCAGCUUCCACGCACAGUCCCAAUCUGUGGAGCCCUUUGUUCCCUGGAGCAGCCCCAGCCUGCUUUAAGCAGGGCAUGGGAGGCUGUUCUUAGCCAGCCCACAGGAACGAGCCCUCCCUCGCCCUUUAGAGGGUGCAGGUUGAGGAAAUGCAGUGCCACAGGUUGCAGGCCCACCUUUGGCUGGGCUGACCUCCCCCUGGUUGGGGUCGAGGUUGUGCGCUGGGCUCCUGAAGGACUACGUGAUGAAAAUGAUGAUGAUGAUGAUGAUGAUAAUGAUAAUGGUAAUGUUGAUGGUGUGGUGCAGCCAGGAGGCCCGCCC
rnacentral:lncRNA from 14 species